AGGUUCGCGAAUAAGCCCCUUGGAGAGAAGAUCAGAUACAAGUUGCAUCUGCUGGUAAAGGACGAAAGUGGAUCGGCAACUUUUGUUGUCUUUGAUCGAGAGGCAGAAAAAUUAACUAAAGAUACGAUCUGAAGCUGGUUGGGUUCAUCUUGCGCCACCUUAAAAGCGUGCCGACGGAGUGGAACGUGAUCGUUGUAUCGUUAAGAGUAAUUGCCGGGAAGCCUCGCACGUAGAGGGACAAUUUCGAUUCUAGGACAGUACUCUGCACGCUUCGAUCCACAGGCUUUAUCUAAAUCUUAUCUUUACAAUAUUUUUGUUUAAUUUUGUUUCGGAAUUUUUCUAUAGCUUAAAUUGAAUUUUCGAGUUGUUUUUAAAGAGUAUUGUAAUAAAAGAUCUGAAGGAUUUUCCAACAAUCUA